rnacentral:lncRNA from 1 species
UGUUUGAUUAGUACUUAAUCUCUAGUAUAUUGGAUUAUGAGACGCGAGAUGGUGAUUGAAUCAUGGUUUGGCAAUUUAUGGUGGAAUUCAAGGAAGAGUGCUUCAGACAGUACUGACAAGGUGGUGCUUGGAAUCUUGGCAUUUUUACAGGGUUUGCUUACUCAUAGCCUGACUCGGUGACUCUAAAACCAACUAUCCCCGGGGGCUGACUAAAAAUAGCUAUAAAAGCCAAGCAGGAGACAAGGCAGGGACUGAACUUCGUCCCCAACUCUAGCAUCGGUUCUCGAAAUGAAACUUAAGUUGCCAGCUCAGUGUCUAAGUUGGUGCAUUUAUGGC